GUCCUUGAACGCACCAUCGUACGUGCGCUAGCCUUCUCCCACUCUGCACAGAUUGUCAACUAUACUGUAUUUUUAUCGGGGGUUUUUCACUUCAUAUUUGCUCCCAAAUGCUGAUACUCUGUGGGAAUGCAUAAAGGAACUAAGUGGAACUACGUUCUUCAUGGAAAUCUGACCAGAACUGGACUUAGGAGACCAAGUGGGGGCCGGAGUGUUGGUGUGGAUGAGGUGCUCCAGCGAACUCGAAUACGACGACGACGUAGACCUUGAGCAGAGACGCCAUGAGAUCUUCGUGAAGACCACCCUUGGACUUUGUUUGGCGAAACACCGGAAACACUGAACGGGGGCAAGAUGAGGGGAACAUGCAGGUUGGUCCAAAAGAGUGAAGUGCAGCGUCAUUACCACACAGAUGAAGGCCUUCGGUCGUGAGGGAUGCCCCUGCGACAUCUCCACAUAGCCAGCUGCCGUCUGACGCCCCUGCGCAACCUGAGGGUCCAUUGUUACAUUGAAGGAUCAUGAUGGAGCCGUGUGGAAAACAUCUCAGGUGGGAUCUCCUUGUCAUGCCAGUAACGUUGGAAGCCAUCAGGAGCGUCAAGGGAGAAUAAAACUUUCUUCCAUCUUUCAAUGUCCCAUCUUUGGUGCUCUCUUGCUAAUUCCAAAGACUCGAAUUUGUGGCCUUGAAGGAGACCUUUUUUUUUCUUAAAAGCCUACUCUGGCAAAUGGUGUCUGAUGGUUAUUGAAUUGCACUCGGCACUAGUAACAACCUUCAUUUGGGCCGAGGAUGGUCCCAUGUUCCUCCCACAUUCCAAAAACAUGCAUGUUAGGUUAAUUGGUGACUCUAAAUUGUCCAUAGGUGUGAACAUGAGCGUGAAUGCUUGUUUGUCUAUAUGUGCCCUGCCAUUCUCUGGCGACCCCGCCUGUUGCCCGAAAUCAGCUGGGAUAGGCUCCAGCAUAGGUAGGUAUCAACUUAUUGCCAUCUGGAGCGAGUAAUGGUCUCACCUUGGCCACCCCAAUAAAACAUUUCCUGCUCCACCGCCGCACAGAGCUAAUAUGUCCUUCAUGCUCCGUUUCUCGCUUUUCUUUGGACAUUUUAUAAUGAAGAUAAGACAGUUUUUUUGUUGCAUGUGUCAUCAAUAGCAACACUUACUUACCAUGCACGAUGUGAAUAUUGAGAGGGUGAAUGAAAAUACAUUUCUGGGGAUCAUAAUAGAUGAGAACAUAUUAAAAAUAUACAACAUAAGGUGGCGAGAGGUACCUCAAUAUUGAAUUAAGCUAAAUUUGUCCUUGAUCAAAAGUCAUACUCCAUACACUUUACUGCUGUCUGGUAUUACCACAUCUAACUUAUUGUGUGGAGAUAUGGGGUAAUAACUAUACAAGCACUCUUCACUUGCUAAAUGUCCUGCAAAACACAUCAGUUAGGAGAAUCCAUAAUGCCGCGUGUCGAGAACAUACAAAUCCUCCAUUUCUGAAAUCACAAAUAUUACAAUUUGCUGAUUUAGUACAUUUUCAAACAGCUAAAAUGAUGCAUAAAGCAAACAAUAACCUGCUACUCAAAAAUGUCAUGCAGCACUUUUUAACAAGAGAGGAGAAAUACGAUCUCGGGGGGGGGGGAAAACUAAACUUAAAACACUCACGCCACAACGCUAAAAACCCCAGCGUUUCAGUACAUGGAAUUAAAUGAUGGAACGGCUGGAGGAAGGAACUCAAACAAAACACCAACAUGAGUCAUUCAAGAAACAAUACAAACAGUUGAUGCUUGCAAAACACAAGGAAGAAGAGUUUUGAACCACUGUGCACAAAAUGCUAUGUCUGAUCACUACGACGCUCAAUACUCUUUCAUUCUUGUGAGUUCAUUGUCAGUACUCACCCUUUAUUACAGAUAAAUCCAGUUAUGCCGGAUUAUUAUCUAUUUACUAUUAUACUAAUGAUGUGAUAUUUAUAACGAUUGAGAAAAAACCCUGACAGUGAUAUUACGACACUGUUACAUUGCAUCAUUCUCCCAAGUAUCAACUGGUUAAGACUACAUCGGAAAACAGGAAGUUUACAUUCUUCAUGAAAUAAUAAUAUAGCUAAUAUAUUGAUGGUGUUCAUGUCAUCAUUAUGUUAAAUAUUUUUUAAAUAUCUGUCUGGAAUUACAGCAACUCAUUUUUGACAUAACUUCAUCCCCGUUUUGAGUCAUUGCGUCCAGCUUUAAAUGACAGAGAUUUUGCCAAGCUUACGUUCAUCUAAAAUGUGCUAUCAAAAAAAAGAAAAAAACAUGUACAAAUAUGCUCACUGAAAAUGGAAACA